UACAGAGGAUGCAAGCGUUAUCCGGAAUGAUUGGGCGUAAAGGGUGUGUAGGCGGUCUGCAAAGUCUGAUGUGAAAUCCCCGGGCUCAACCUGGGAACUGCGUUGGAUACUGGUAGGCUAGAGUGCGGAAGAGGCGAGUGGAAUUCCUGGUGUAGCGGUGAAAUGCGCAGAUAUCAGGAGGAACACCAAUUGCGAAGGCAGCUCGCUGGGACGUAACUGACGCUGAGACGCGAAAGCGUGGGGAGCAAACAGG
rnacentral:rRNA from 1 species